AUUGAACGCUGGCGGAAUGCUUUACACAUGCAAGUCGAACGGCAGCACGGGGGCAACCCUGGUGGCGAGUGGCGAACGGGUGAGUAAUACAUCGGAACGUGCCCAGUCGUGGGGGAUAACGUAGCGAAAGCUACGCUAAUACCGCAUACGAUCUACGGAUGAAAGCGGGGGAUCGCAAGACCUCGCGCGAUUGGAGCGGCCGAUGGCAGAUUAGGUAGUUGGUGGGGUAAAGGCUCACCAAGCCGACGAUCUGUAGCUGGUCUGAGAGGACGACCAGCCACACUGGGACUGAGCAAGGGCCCAGACUCCUACGGGAGGCAGCAGUGGUGAAUUUUGGACAAUGGGCGCGAGCCUGAUCCAGCCAUUCCGCGUGCAGGAUGAAGGCCUUCGGGUUGUAAACUGCUUUUGUACGGAACGAAACGGCCUUUCUAAUACAAGAGGCUAAUGACGGUACCGUAAGAAUAAGCACCGGCUAACUACGUGCCAGCAGCCGCAGUAACAC
rnacentral:rRNA from 1 species